GGGGAAUAUUGGGCAAUGGGCGAAAGCCUGACCCAGCAACGCCGCGUGAGGGAAGAAGGUUUUCGGAUUGUAAACCUCUGUCGCAGAUGACGAAGGAAGUGACGGUAGUCUGUGAGGAAGCCCCGGCUAACUACGUGCCAGCAGCCGCGGUAAUACGUAGGGGGCGAGCGUUGUCCGGAAUUACUGGGCGUAAAGGGUGCGUAGGCGGUUCUUUAAGUUGGAUGUGAAAUACCCGGGCUUAACCUGGGGGGUGCAUUCAAAACUGGGGAACUAGAGUUCAGGAGAGGGAAGCGGAAUUCCUAGUGUAGCGGUGAAAUGCGUAGAUAUUAGGAGGAACACCAGUGGCGAAGGCGGCUUUCUGGACUGACACUGACGCUGAGGCACGAAAGCGUGGGGAGCAAAC
rnacentral:rRNA from 1 species